CACUAAGCCCCUACGUUUGAGGUAAAUGUUGAAUGCUAUAAGUUAUGUAUUGUAUGUUACAAACAAUUAUGUUUUUAUAUUUCAGAUUCGUCUCAUAAUAUAUUGGGUCGUGGUUGCCUUGCUUUCUUUUGCUGUCGUGAUUUGGAAGAGUUCGUACAAUGACAAGAGCAAGGAUCCUCCAGGGACUCCAAAUAUCAUCAUUAGAAAAGUGUUCCACAUCCUAGCUGUAGCCAUAUUUAUCCCUGGAAUCCUAUACGAUCCUGCAUUACUCCACGUAUGUUCAGCCGUGGCUACCUCGCUAUUUUUAUUCGUCGAGGUAAGGUGGAUUCACAGGGAAGAUUGCGAGGGAGGGUGGACACCCAGAAUGGCCGGAAAGAGUGAGUAUACACUCAUCAAUCACCAUAUUUAUAACGUGGUGUUUCAAUACGCUUAUUGCAUGCUGACGUAACACUGGGUCAAUAAGAGAUGAUCCUUACUGGGCCUCUAGAGCGAACAGUUUAGAACUGAUAGAACUGGAUCAAUAAAAGAUAUUCUUACUGGACCUCUAGGAAGAACAUUUUAGAACUGAUAGAGCUAUCCAGUAUAAGUAAAGUUAGUUUAGUUAGGUUUCCUGCUGUAGUAACACUGGAUCAAUAAGAGAUUUUCCUUACUGGAUCUCUAAGGAGAAAAGUUUA